rnacentral:misc_RNA from 1 species
GCUCGAAGAAUGCAACUCCGACCGCCGCCGUCAGAAAUCUCGAGAAGAAUUGCCGGAACUCUUCUUAUUCCGGUUGUACUCGGUGUCUCGGUGCUUUACAUAAGCUCAACGGCGACGGUGGAAAAAAUCGAACGCACAAAUGGGAUGUAACCGGCGGGGAUAGAGUGAGCAAGAUGUUAAGCAGAGACUGUCAGUUGAUGGGAUUGACAUGGUUACUGGCACGCAACAAAACGGCGUACAUACCGACGGUUUCUGCUGUAUUGCGCGCUAUCAUGUACAGUGCGCACCCACCGCACGAGUCCAAGUGUAGCCCGGACCAGGAGAACAUGCCACUAGCCGUCGAUUCACUACAGUUUGAUAAAACGGAUUCAUCUUCACCGUUCGUUGGCGUUUCUGGUUUUGUUAUUUUGUUUACUUUUUUGCCCCUAAUCAUUCUACUGAAUUAGAGAUGAUGAAAUCGCUCUGUUAUUUUGCUCAUGUGAUGUGAUUUCGGGGGAUUCACGUGAAAUAUUUGCUAGUUGACAAAAUCAGAAGAGGGGGGUGAAAAAGGGGUUAUUUUGUCUUUUUGCCUCACUGU